rnacentral:pre_miRNA from 1 species
CAAAUACUCCCUCCGUCCGGAAAUACUUGUCAUCAAAAUGGAUAAAAGGAAAUGUAUCUAGACGUAUUUUAGUUAUAGAUACAUCUAUUUUUAUCCAUUUUGAUGACAAGUAUUUUCGGAUGGAGGGAGUAGAAA